rnacentral:ncRNA from 1 species
GUACUGAAAUGCAUGGUGGGAAAUCAGUGUGUAAUUCAUUGGCUGUGCCUGCAACCGUAAAGUCGGAGCGCCACCCAGUAUAGUCCGCUGUUGAAUGAUGGCCAGGAAAAGUCUAGUUCUACAAUUAAAAA